rnacentral:rRNA from 1 species
AAAUUGAAGAGUUUGAUCAUGGCUCAGAUUGAACGCUGGCGGCAGGCCUAACACAUGCAAGUCGAACGGUAACAGGAAGCAGCUUGCUGCUUUGCUGACGAGUGGCGGACGGGUGAGUAAUGUCUGGGAAACUGCCCGAUGGAGGGGGAUAACUACUGGAAACGGUGGCUAAUACCGCAUAACGUCGCAAGACCAAAGAGGGGGACCUUCGGGCCUCUUGCCAUCAGAUGUGCCCAGAUGGGAUUAGCUU